AUGGCUGGUCUUGUGGCAUGCAACCCAGACAAACGGCGUGAGCAUUGGGAGAAUGUUUGCACAACCAUAUUUCCAGAAUCAGGAAAAGUAGGUGCGUAUGAACUUACACAAGAGGAAGUCGGGAGGAUAGUUAGCCAUUGCUACAAUGAUAUGUCUGCUGAGAUCCAGACUUGCUCACUGUAUUUGAGCAUAUUUCCCAAGGGGUGUAAAAUCAGCAGGAAGCACUUGAUGAGGCGAUGGAUAGCCGAAGGUAUUGUCUGCGAGAAAGAUGGGCUGGGUGUAGAUGUUAUUGCGGAGACAUACUUCAAUCAUCUCAUAAGGAGGAAGAUCAUCCAACCAGUGGAGCACAACGGCAAUGGGAAGGUGAAGAAAUGUGUGGUUCAUGACAUGGUUCUUGAGCUCAUUGUGAAAAAGGCAAGUGAAGAGAAUUUCAUCACCGUGAUUGGUGGUAACUGGUUGAUGCAGCUGCCUAGCAGCAAGGUCCGUCGGCUGUCCAUCCAAGACAAUGAUUCCAAACAUGCAAAGGAUACAGAGAAGAUGAACUUGUCUCAUGUCAGGUCACUGACCAUUGUUGGGAGAUUGAAGAAACAACUCUCUUCCCAUUCGUUUGGAAUUGUACAGGUCCUGGAUCUUGAAGGCUGCAAGGAUUUCAAACAACACCAUAUAACUGAAAUAUGUGGAAUGUUUCUUCUGAAGUAUCUGAGCCUCAGAAAAACAGAUGCUAAGCAACUUCCUGAUAAGAUCGGAAAGCUUAAGAACCUUGAGACGCUAGACAUAAGGGAGACUGGAGUUGUGGAGUUGCCAAAAGCUGUAUGCCAGCUCGAAUGGUUGGUUAACAUACUUGGUGGGGAUAAAACAACACGGAAAGCAUUGAAACUUCCUGAAGAUUUGAAGAAGAAAAUGAAGGCACUAAAGAUACUGUCAGGCAUUGAGAUUGUGGAGAAAUCAUCUGACCUUCGUCAUUUGACCAAGCUUAGGAAGAUUGCUAUCUACAAGCUGAAAACUUUGAAGAGUGAUCCGACUUUAGAGGCGUUAAGGUCUUCUAUCGAGUACCUAGGUGGCUGCUCUCUGCAAACCCUCAUUAUUGAUGACGAAUCAUCUGAUUUUGUCAAAUCACUGGAUGGUUUGUCAUCCCCUCCAAGAUUCCUUGUUGCCCUUGAGUUAUCUGGAAAGAUGAUUAAGCUCCCAAACUGGAUCACCAAACUGAGUGCUCUCAACAAGUUAACCCUCUCAUUGACAGCUCUCCGGACAGAUAACUUGGAGCACCUGAGUAAACUAGGCUCAUUGUUUUCUCUCACCUUCUGUAUUAGGGCCAAUCAACAAGACCGAGAAAUACUAGCCAUUGUUGCGGAAAACAAGAUGUACUCCAAGGGGGUGAUCAUAGUACCGGCUCAAGGAUUCGAGAGUCUAAAGCUCCUGUGUCUCUCUGGUCCUCUAUUGCCAAUACUGAGAUUUUCAAGUGUGGCCAUGCCAGAGUUGGAGAAGGCUUGA
rnacentral:rRNA from 1 species